rnacentral:rRNA from 1 species
GUAGAUCUGCACGCGCUGCUCAACUUCAAGCAGAGCAUCACCGACGAUCCACAAAGAGCCCUGAGCAGCUGGAGGAACACCACCCACUUCUGUCGAUGGCGCGGUGUUAUCUGCACCACGAGACGACCGUUUCGUGUUGCUGCGCUCAACCUCAGCAGCCUGGACUUAGCAGGCCAAAUCAGUUCCUCCCUAGGAAACAUGACCUUCCUCCAAAAGCUUGACCUUGAGUGGAAUAACUUGGUUGGCCCCAUACCGAUCCUUGGCCAUCUCCAACAUCUGCACACGUUCUAUCUGAACAACAACCUUCUACACGGGAUAAUUCCUGAUUCACUUAUAAACUCCUCCAAAACUAGAUUCACGGGUCUCUCUAGAAACUUGCUGGUGGGUCAAAUUCCUCCGACUUUAGGCUUUCUUCCAAAUCUAGAAUAUAUGUAUCUUCAAUCAAAUCAACUCGAGGGGAGCAUUCCUGAUGAGCUUGGGCAAUUGCAGCAAUUAAUUGAGUUAAUCCUGGGCCAUAAUAAGCUUUCAGGUGAAUUCCCACAUGCCAUCUUGAAUCUUUCAUUUUCUCUCCAAAUACUAGGCUUGGAGCGUAAUAUGCUGGGCAAAGCAUUGCCACCUAAAAUCGGAGACCUUCUGCCUAAUAUCAAAGAACUUAACUUGGAAGGCAACACAUUUGAGGGUGACAUACCAGCUUCCCUAGGCAAUGCUACAGGGUUGGAAGUGAUAGAAUUGUCAAAUAACAGUUUGACCGGACGAAUUCCCACUUCUUUUGGAAUGCCUUUAAAUCUGACCAUUCUAUACCUUCAGUAUAACCAGCUUGAAGCGAAGGAAAGCAGAGACUGGGAAUUCGUAAAUGGACUGAGAAACUGUCAAUCUGUGAAUAUGCUAUCGCUGUCCAGGAAUCAGCUGCAGGAGUAUAUCCGGCAGUUCAUUGGUAACCUAUCAUCCCGCCUUGAGGCACUUUAUUUACACGGAAACAGCUUAUCAGGACAAGUACCCCAAAGUAUCGGAAACCUUAGUGCCUUAACUACAUUGUCACUUGGUGAUAAUGAUUUUUUUUUGGAAAUGGAGGCAUGCCCCCGGCCUCUGCAUCAUGAUGAUGCAUGCGACACUCUUAUUAACAAACCAAAGAGUAUCGUCAUAAAGGUCUUACAGCUCGCAAACGGAGCAAAGCAAAGUAAAAUAAGGAAAAAUACAUGCGGAUAA